GAUGAACGCUGGCGGCGUGCCUAAUACAUGCCAGUCGAGCGAACGGACGAGAAGCUUGCUUCUCUGAUGUUAGCGGCGGACGGGUGAGUAACACGUGGAUAACCUACCUAUAAGACUGGGAUAACUUCGGGAAACCGGAGCUAAUACCGGAUAAUAUUUUGAACCGCAUGGUUCAAAAGUGAAAGACGGUCUUGCUGUCACUUAUAGAUGGAUCCGCGCUGCAUUAGCUAGUUGAUAAGGUAACGGCUUACCAAGGCAACGAUGCAUAGCCGACCUGAGAGGGUGAUCGGCCACACUGGAACUGAGACACGGUCCAGACUCCUACGGGAGGCAGCAGUAGGGAAUCUUCCGCAAUGGGCGAAAGCCUGACGGAGCAACGCCGCGUGAGUGAUGAAGGUCUUCGGAUCGUAAAACUCUGUUAUUAGGGAAGAACAUAUGUGUAAGUAACUGUGCACAUCUUGACGGUACCUAAUCAGAAAGCCACGGCUAACUACGUG
rnacentral:rRNA from 1 species